rnacentral:tRNA from 2 species
GCGGGCGUAGCUCAGCUGGUUUAAAGCGCUUCCCUGUCACGGAAGAGAUCGUGGGUUCGAAUCCCAUCGCCCGCGCCA